CAGAGCACCUGUGGCUAGUUAAAUAAGUCUUUUGAAUGUGCUUGUUCAAGUAUAAACUUUAUACUGCUUGUCCAGACAUAUUUUACCUUCCUUCUUGUUUGUCUACAAGGCACAUGACUAAUGUUUGGCCUUCUUCAGCUCUUCUGUGGAUUACUGUCUAUAUCUAAUACAAGCGGGACUGAGGAGAUGUUUGGGGCAACAGUCUUUUCUACUGUUGUCCCCUGCUCCCUUUCUCUUGCAGCUGACUUGUUUGUGCCUCGUUCUUCUCCCGUGCACCGUCAGGAAGCGGCAAGUGGUGCCCGAACAGGGACCGAAAUGAAACAGGAAAAGAAACCCCAAUGUGAAUUUUUGCAUGGCCGUGCCUUUUUCCUGCUGUAUAUGUUUUGCAGCACAUCGAAACUGCUACUGUUUCUACCUCUGAUGUAAUAUGAUGACCCUCAUCACGGCCAUGCAGGCGAAAAUUCUUCCAAUGACUGAUGGAUCAAGAAGUUACAAAAUGGACUUUUCUUCUUCUGCACAAACAAAAAGAGGGAGAUGCAACUAUCCCUCAGAACAAUGUAUUACUUAACCUAUAACCCAUGGGAAAUUUUACUACUUACCAAGCACGUUUAGAUACAGCCUUAAGAAAUACACAUACUGGCAACAGGUCUCUGGGGGAGAGGAUGGUAUAAGGCCUUGAAGCUGAGCAACUGGGAACGCCCGGCCCACUCAGGGCAGAACGCUGCCUGCUUCAUUUUUCCAUUAUCUCUGCCCCCUGAACCCCCACCCCAGCCCCAGAGCGCCUGUGGCUAGUUAAAUAAGUCCUUUGAAUGUGCUUGUUCAACUAUAAACUUUAUACGGCUUGUCCAGGAUUUUGCCCUCCUUGUUUAUCUACAAGGCGCAUGACUAAUGUUUGGCCUUCUUUGGCUCUUCUGUGGAUUACUGUCCAUAUCUAAUAAAAGCGGGACUGAGGAGUUGUUCCGGGCAACAGUCUUUUCCACUGUUACCCCCUGCUCCCUUUCUCUUGCAGCUGACUUGUUUGUGCCUCAUUCUUCUCCCUUGCAUCAUCAGGAAGUGGCAAUGGAGGGGAACCUGGGUGGCUCAUUUGGUUAAGGGACCGACUC